UAAUUGAACUGAUUUUGAACUUUGACCUUAUAAAUGUGAUAAUUGAGCCAGUUUGACUACAAGAAAUAACAUUCUUCUUAAUUUGACAUGAUUGCUGGAACUCAGCGAUUACACUGGUAGCUGUGGCAGCGCUUUAUUAAAAAUUUAAAUAAAAAAGUCAUUUUUUACUGUGGGACCAAUCCCAGCCGUUAGUUCGCGCUGAAGAAUUAAAGACAGUUUCAAAAACUACAUUAUUAUUAAGCGAUAUUAUCAAGUUGUAUCGCUUUUAACUGUGAAACGAUUGACUCUGGGAAUUAAUUGAACUGAAUCCGUACUGUGACCUUAGAAAUGUGAUAAAUGAGCCAAUUGGACUCCAAGAAGUUACAUUCUUCUUAAAUUGACAUGAUUGCUGGAAUUCAGCGAAUACACUAGGCUCUGCGGUAGCGCUUUAUUUAAAAAUUGAGAUAAAUAAGUCUUUUUUUACUGUGGGACCAAUCCUGGCCGUUAGCACGCACUGAAGAAAUAGAGACAUUCUCAAAAACUACAUUUCAUUGAUUUCUUGGCGGUAUCAAUCCGUUUCAGUAGGCUGUUCAGUCACGUGACAAUUCUUGCCGUCAAAAAAAAUCUCGGCGCGGCGGAAGAUGAGAACUUCAAAAUUUUUAAAGGUGAGCGUAUGGCACCUUAGCAUUUGGGUACUUUUCUUGCACUAAACCAAUUUAGGCCGGUUUAUGUUGGGUACCUAUGCAAAGGUAGAUGAUUUUCUGAGGUAAACAAAGAUGAAAAUCCCGGUUUCUGUUUGAGGAAGUAAAAAAAUCAGGUAAAUAAAAACUUCAUAUUUUGAGAAAAAGUACUAGAUUUUAACUAUUUUUUGAUUUUCACUCAGGGAAACACUCUUCAAUGACACUUUUGUUGUGGUUGCUUUUUCACUUAUGUUGGGGUCUGGUCUGUAAAUUGGAAAUAUAACGAAACAGCACAAUAUAUUUUGCUAGCAAUUAUAUAUUUUAUUUUAUCCAAUUAUUCAUAUGUAUUUGAUGAGUUUUCACCAUUUUGGCCUUCACUUCUUACUUCUGUGAAUCAUAAUAAAUCUAGUCUCUAAAAUGUGAUUCUGAUAACUGAGCACACAAUAAUUUUUUUCCAAGUUGCAGUAAUAUUAUUUAUUAACUAAAUUAUUUAUAUUUGCACAUGUAGUCAAUGAUUUUUCACAAUUUUGGUCUUUUUGUCAAGUCUGUAAAUUACAUUAAAUCUGGUCUGUAAAAUAUACAUUUUGAGAUUUAACAUGAUACUUCAUAUAAUUUAUUUGAUAAGUAUUGGUCAUACUAUCAUGCCUAUUUAUUUGCACUUUUUGUUUGACUGUUUUUGCUUUUUUUGAGCAUAUUCCGCAUCUGGUUUGGAAAUUACAAAGAAUCUGGUCUAUAGAAUAUACUUUCAGAAUAUCUCAUGACACUCCCACUUUUUUUUUAAAAAAAAUAUUUAUUCUAUUCUGAUUUUUUUCUGCUCCCACAUUUCCUUGAGAAGUUUUUACUGUUUUGGUUAUAUUUUAGGUCUGUAAAUUACAAAAAAUGUGGUCUGUAAAAUGUAUUUAUUAAAGGAUCACGUGAUACCUCAUAAUUGUAUUUUCCUUAACUGAGAGACCUAAAAACCAUCCUAAUUAUUCAUAUUUACACACGUAGUCAAUGAUUUUUCACGAUUUUGGUCUUUUUUUGUCAAGUCUGUAAAUUACACUAAAUCUGGUCUGUAAAAUAUACAUUUCGAGUUUUAACAUGGUACUUUAUAUAUAUAAUUUAUUUUGAUAAGUAGUGAUCAUACUAUUAUGUCUCUUUAAUAAUAUUCGCAUUUUUUAUAUGAUCGUUUUUGCUAUUUUGGACAUAUUUUGGGCCUGGUCUGGAAAUUACAAAAAAUCUGGUCCGUAAAAUGUACUUCUUGAAGAAUCACGUGAUACCUCAUAAUUUAUUUUUAAACAAAGUGGUAUUUUAAGUAGCCUAGUUAUGCAUUUGCGUGUGUUUUAUUGACGAUUUCCUGUUAUAUUCCUAAAAUUUAUGACCAUAUUUUGUAAUGUAAUUUUGCGCAUGCGCAAUAGCAUUUGGUAAAAUAUACGACCUAAUCAUAUA